UACGUAGGGUGCGAGCGUUGUCCGGAAUUAUUGGGCGUAAAGGGCUCGUAGGCGGUUUGUUGCGUCGGCUGUGAAAACUCGGGGCUCAACCCCGAGCCUGCAGUCGAUACGGGCAGACUAGAGUGCUGUAGGGGAGACUGGAAUUCCUGGUGUAGCGGUGAAAUGCGCAGAUAUCAGGAGGAACACCGGUGGCGAAGGCGGGUCUCUGGGCAGUAACUGACGCUGAGGAGCGAAAGCGUGGGGAGCGAACAGG
rnacentral:rRNA from 1 species